CAAUGUUGCAAUAUUACAUUUCCCUAAAAAUUUACUAAAAUGUAAACAAUUUAAAAACCCAUUUAUUUCCAAAUUAUAGGCCUCCUACAACAACAUAUAAAAGGUAAUUUAUUAUUUUUUACCAUUUUUCUUUAUUUGGGUCUCUGAGGGUUAAAGAAAAAGGGAACACUUCAUCAUGUCAACCAGCCCACCAAGAAAAGGUGUCCAACAGUAGUUACACGACAGAUACACUCGGUAGAGAUGAACAGCAAGUGCUAUGGUUCUCAACAUCAGAAAUAUCCUUUGGUUCGCUACAAGUCAACUUGCAUUGAGCAAAAUAACAGGCCAUGACAGGCCAAACUGCUGAUGGGAAAUAGCACUUGGACGACCCAUGUGAUACCGGAAAAAUGGCUUGACUGUGACGAAUACACCAGGUGGCAGACAAGAGCCCUUUAAUAGACCGGCUAUAACACUGAAAGGUUGUCAAUCAAUGACAUAAUUUUUCUAAAAACAGAGAGGUGACACAAACAUUGCAUGCAGCAACCAUAGCCACAAAAAUGUGGCAUAUCCCAGAGCUUUUGUAUUUGAUUGUGUUCCUGCUCAUGCACUGAUCUCAAGAAACUUAUGCUUGUCUUAAUUAGAUUGGAUGGAGACAGAACCAUCAACAUGCUCACAGCUUAACCAGCAGCAGUCUCUAUGCAUCAAUUUUGUCAGUCUUUGCAUGUCUUGUCGGAUGCUCUGUGCCUGGUUCCCUGUGUCUUGUCAGAUGCUCUGUGCCUGGUUUCCUGUGUCUUGUCGGAUGCUCUGUGCCUGGUUCCCUGUGUUUUAAAGUCUGACCUAAGAUGAAUCUAGCAGCUGUCUGAAUUCUCAAGCAAGCGGACACAAGUGUUCUCUACUGCUACGUGUCUCUGAGUGAUGAUGACUACAUGCAGCCGGUGCCAACCAUACAUCACUUCAGUCUAUUAUGAUGGACUUCAGAGUAUGAACUGAUGCCAACUCCAACUUGUAAACCCUUUUUACUAAAGAAAUUCUUAACACUUUAAAAUAAGGUUCUAUUUGUCAAAAUUACUUUGUGUACUAGGUAUCAUAAACUUACAAUGAACAAUAUUGUUUAUCAGCAAUUAUUAUUCUUGGUUAAUGGUAAUUUAUAAAAAAAUAAAUUGUUAGUUUGUUAAUUUAGUGUUGUUCAUUGUUGGUUUUUGUUA